AUAAAAAAAUCUUCAAUAAAUAUAUUAAAAAUUAAUGUGAUAGGGAUGUUUUCUUAUUACUAGUAGCCAGGGAAGAGGCAUAAAACAAAAUAGAAAGAAUGUAAAUUAAAUAAGACAAACAAUUAAAACUUAUCUGUUUAACGUAGAAUAUAAUGGCGAAUAAUGGCAGUGAUAGACAACUGUACGUGUGCGUUGAAAUGCUGAAGACGUUAAUCAUGACAACGGUUUGUGAUGUGCGACAAGCGUCGGCUACACGAACAAAUAAAGAUUACUUUUGGUAGCCAUAACAUCAUUCAUCGUCAUUUUGAUUAUACAAGAUGCAGUGCAUUGUAAUAACAGUAACACACCUACAAAAGGUGGUAAAUCCUUUAAAGGAAGUUUUAGUACGAAAUCAGUACAAGGUGGUAAAGCCAUUAUCGAAUUUGCGAGUAAGUAAAUGUGUUUAUAAAUAAAAACAAAAUAAACACAUCUAUUCAUAACACAUAUAACUAAAUAUUAAUUUUUGUGUAAAUUUUAUUUAUAUAUAUUUUUUUUUUUUGGUUUAUUAUAAUGAUAAGUUGAUAAAUUCAUCUUAUUAAAUAUUUUUAAUAAUAUACUAUUGUUCUAUGCGAACUGUAUCAUUUCUAUUAAAUGUGUUUAAAAAGCUAUUUCUACAACAUUAGUAAUAUUAUUAGAGCCAUUUUCUUACUUCACUCAUUAUCUGGUCAAUUUAAUAUAAAAAACUGGAUAUCGCCUAUUAACACUAAAAUUUAUUUUAUUUCUGCUUUGCACUUUAAACUGACUCGAAGUUUUGUUACGUGUGACUAAAAUAAGAAACACCAAGUUAUAAUAUAGCCAAUUAGCGGUUUGAAAUAACUAACGGUAAACAUUGAUGUACAUGUCGUAUAACUGGCGUUACAAUGUAUUUUAUGUUAUAAUAAUUGAAAUGUAAGUAUUUUAACUUGGAUUUAAUUAAAGAACUUCCUAGAAUAUGACAACUAGACUCUUAAAGAUUCGAGAGAGACACAAUAUUCCUAUACUCGCCAGACAUGUAUACGUCAAAAUUCAAAUAAUAAUUUUUUUUUUAUCAAUUUUGUAUUUUUCCUUUUAUAUUACAGGAAAUUUAAGUUUGGAACGUAAGUAUUAAAUCUUAAAUAUUCAAGAAUACAAAUAUUUUAAUAAUAUUAAAUACUAAUAUUAUAGAUCCUAGUCACAAUUUUUUUAAAUCUAAAUAUUUCUCUUAAUAAAACACUAUUUUCACAAAUUAUUAUAUCAAUAUACUAAAAUAAUAGAAAAUAGGUGAAUAAUCUCACUCACGUUGACAUAGCCAAAAAUAGAAAAAAUAUGUUGAAGCUAAUAAUAUAUUUUUAUAUUUUUCUCCACCCUAGAUAUAUUUUAUAUAUAUAAUUCAUACAGUUUUCUAAAUUUUUGGGAAACAAAGCCCUACUAAGUUUUCACCUUUAGACUUCAGAUAAACGUCAAUAUUGAUUUUCCUCAUAUUUAUGUUUAUGUUUGUGAAUACAUUUAAAAUAUUGAAGUUAAAUUUUUUUUUUUUAUUGAUUAACUAAUAUUUUCUA